rnacentral:rRNA from 1 species
AGGCUGAAACUCGCCUACAUGAAGCUGGAGUUGCUAGUAGUCGCGAAUCAGCAUGUCGCGGUGAAUACGUUCCCGGGCCUUGUACACACCGCCCGUCACACCAUGAGAGUUGGCAAUACCCAACGUACGUGAUCUAACCCGCAAGGGAGGAAGCGUCCUAAGGUAGGGUCAGCGAUUGGGGUGAAGUCGUAACAAGGUACC